rnacentral:misc_RNA from 1 species
GGAAGGAUCAUUGUCGUGACCCUGACCAAAACAGACCGUGAACGCGUUAUCUAGCCUGCCGGCGGCGGCAACGUCGUCGUUGGCCAAAGUCCUCGAUAACCUCCUCUCUUCGGAGCGGGGGCUCGGGGUAAAAGAACCCACGGCGCCUAAGGCGUCAAGGAACACUAUGCCUAACGCGGGGACGCGGUUGGCUUGCUAGCCGUCCCUCGUGUUGCAAUGCUAUUUAAUCCACACGACUCUCGGCAACGGAUAUCUCGGCUCUCGCAUCGAUGAAGAACGUAGCGAAAUGCGAUACCUGGUGUGAAUUGCAGAAUCCCGCGAACCAUCGAGUCUUUGAACGCAAGUUGCGCCCGAGGCCACCUGGCCGAGGGCACGCCUGCCUGGGCGUCACGCCAAACACGCUCCCAACCCCUCAUCGGGAGUGGGAUGCGGCUUGUGGCCCCCCGUCUCGCAAGGGGCGGUGGGCCGAAGAUGCGGCUGCCGGCGUAUCGUGUCGGACACAGCGCGUGGUGGGCGACCUCGCUUUACUUACCGCAGUGCAUCCGGCCCGUAGCCGAUGUGAUGGCCUUGAAGGACCCUAUAAACGGAGCGCAUGACGCUUCGACCGCGACCCCAGGUCAGGCGGGACUACCCGCUGAGUUUAAGCAUAUAAAUAAGCGGAGGAGAAGAAACUUACAAGGAUUCCCCUAGUAACGGCGAGCGAACCGGGAUCAGCCCAGCUUGAGAAUCGGGCGGCCGUGCCGUCCGAAUUGUAGUCUGGAGAGGCGUCCUCAGCGACGGACCGAGCCCAAGUCCCCUGGAAAGGGGCGCCUGGGAGGGUGAGAGCCCCGUCCGGCCCGGACCCUGUCGCAUCACGAGGCGCCGUCAACGAGUCGGGUUGUUUGGGAAUGCAGCCCAAAUCGGGCGGUAGACUCCGUCCAAGGCUAAAUACAGGCGAGAGACCGAUAGCGAACAAGUACCGCGAGGGAAAGAUGAAAAGGACUUUGAAAAGAGAGUCAAAGAGUGCUUGAAAUUGCCGGGAGGGAAGCGGAUGGGGGCCGGCGAUGCGCCCCGGCCGUAUGCGGAACGGCUCUUGCUGGUCCGCCACUCGGCUCGGGGCGUGGACUGUUGUCGGCUGCGCCGGCGGCCAAAGCCCGGGGGCCUUAGGUGCUCCCGGUGGCCGUCGUCGGCACGGCCGGUACCCGCGCGCCGAAAGGCGUGUCCCUCGGGACACUGCGCUGCAACGGCCUGUGGGCUCCCCAUCCGACCCGUCUUGAAACACGGACCAAGGAGUCUGACAUGCGUGCGAGUCGACGGGUUCUGAAACCUGGGAUGCGCAAGGAAGCUGACGAGCGGGAGGCCCUCACGGGCCGCACCGCUGGCCGACCCUGAUCUUCUGUGAAGGGUUCGAGUUGGAGCACGCCUGUCGGGACCCGAAAGAUGGUGAACUAUGCCUGAGCGGGGCGAAGCCAGAGGAAACUCUGGUGGAGGCUCGAAGCGAUACUGACGUGCAAAUCGUUCGUCUGACUUGGGUAUAGGGGCGAAAGACUAAUCGAACCAUCUAGUAGCUGGUUCCCUC